rnacentral:rRNA from 1 species
UACGGGGGGGGCAAGCGUUGUUCGGAAUUACUGGGCGUAAAGGGUUCGUAGGUGGCCGACUAAGUCAGACGUGAAAUCCCUCAGCUCAACUGGGGAACUGCGUCUGAUACUGGUGGGCUUGAGUGCAGGAGAGGAACGCGGAAUUCCAGGUGUAGCGGUGAAAUGCGUAGAUAUCUGGAGGAACACCGGUGGCGAAGGCGGCGUUCUGGACUGCAACUGACACUGAGGAACGAAAGCCAGGGGAGCAAACGGG